AUACCUUCACCUAGGGAAAAUCCCACGUUUUUCAAAAUUCAAAAUGAUUCUAUUAUGCCUGGCAGUUUAGCUAAUCCUCCAUCUGAUUUAUCACAAAUAAAUAUCAUAACAACACCUGCAUCAACUUCAGAGUCUUCUUGCACCACUGAGGGUGACAAAGCGGAGGAGACGCAGAAUAGAGAACCUAAAGAGACUAACCGGAAAAAUGAAGAGUUUCUCAAAAGGAAACCCAACCGACCUGUCCAGAGGAGUUCCAGACUGAGACACUCGCUGAUAUUCAGUUCAAAUCUGGAACUGAAUAGUGCAGAAGAGAUGAAAGAUACUGCUGGAGAAAAAGAUGGGGAUGAAGCUUCAAAACUUUCAGCUCGUGUGUCACAAAUCUUAGAUAAAAGGAGGACUGGCUCUGCAUUUCAACCAUUUCAGUGGAGCAAUUUUGUAAAGUCAGCCACAUUUGAUAACUCCACCUCAGAGUCUGCACAACCUCAGGAUGAACUGAACAAAAUGGGUGAAAAUUCUGAUGUAGAUAAGGUUGAAACCUGCCAAAAUAUUCGAAAGAAUUCAUUAAAGAGUGAUCUGCAAGAAAAAGGUCUGCCUCAAACAGUUCCUGAAAAAUCUAGCCAAAGGGAUGAAUGUCCAUCUAAUUUAUCGCAAAAGCCAUCUUCUUUCAUAGAUAUGAAUGACCCUGACUAUAGACUGAGGUAUUUCAAAGAGUUAGCAGCCAAACGCAAACUUGCAGCAGCAAAGGCUUCUCAGAGCAAUCCGAUGAAAGCCACCCAAAAGUUUUCUCUACCAGAGAAACCUUUAGCUACUGAUGCAGAUAAAAAAGGCCCUGUCUUCAAGACCCCAGAAACUCCACUCAAGUCAAAAAAUACCCCUGCCACAGUAACAGAGAUCAAAGAGACCUAUAAAGACACCAAAUGUGAGGAAUCGAGUAAAGACAUCCUACAUAGAGCCACCGAUGCUGAAAAAAUUAGAUUUAAGAAAAAACUUGCAGAAGAGUCUGGCUCAACUUUAAAAAAUUUCAAGGGAGACAUUGAUCAAGCUCUAAAACCUGUUGAAGGGGCAAGAACAGUAUCUACAGCUAAAAACCAGACACCCCCCAUUUUAAACAUUUUUUCACAAAAGCCUGCCUGUGCCUUACAAAAUCAAGUAGAUUCUGUUGCAUUAGAUACUACCUCAACAGAAUCUGGUCUCAACCAAUAUCAUAUUCCUAAAGAAACAGAUCCCUCCCAUGCCUUUCUGACUGAGAGUUGUCUGCCUGUAAAGUUUCCACAGACAAAGUGUGUGUCACCGCUAUGCACCACUUCAGAUGAGGGAAGUCUACCUGCAAAAGAAUCCCAAAUUCUUGCACAGAGCCUACCCAAUAUUUCUAGCGCAUGUUCUGAUACUUUGGCUCUUGAUUCUAAUUCAGCAGCAAAUCUUGCAAUUGUAGAUACUUGUGAACCUUCAAAAAAUGACCACAAAGACACAGUUCCCUCCCCAGCAUUUUCUAAAACUGGAAUUAGUUCCACCGAACACCCCACUGCAAUAAAGGCAGACUCUUCUCAACACCUCAGUGAAACUGGGGCAGAUUUUUCUAGACGCUUCACCGCUGUAGGGGCAGAACCAUCUACAGCAGAAAAUGUGCAUUCCCAACACCAUUCUCAACUAACUCCUGCAUCUAAAACAGACUGUUUUCAACAGCCUACUGCAGUGAGGAAAGACUUUUCCCUGCACCCCACUGCUACAGAAUGUAGAACUUCACAAAACCUCCCUAUUACAAAAAAACCUGAUUCUUUCCAACAGCCAACUGCAGCAGAAAGUGAAUCGUUUUACCACUUCACUACAAUUAAAGCAGCCUCUUCUCAACAGCCUACUGAGACAGGAGAAGACUCUUCUCAGCCCCCCAUUAAAACUAGGACAGACUAUUGCCAACAAUCCAGUGGAGCAGAAAGCGAAGACUCUGAAAUACACACUGCAGUGCAGACAGACCCUACUACAACAAGAAAUAAAUCAUCCCAACAGUACUCUGCAGUAACCUCAGACUUUUCUAAACAUCCCCCUGCAGUGGGGGCAGACACUUCAGAACACCUCACUGCAGCAGAGAUGGACUCUUCUAAGAGGUCUGCUGCAUCUGUGGAAGACUCUGUGCAACACCAUGUGGCAAAAGAAAGUAAACAUUCCCAUAAACCCACUGCAUCAGAUACACAACACUUCGUGCAGCCAAAUGCUCCUGCUGCAACCUCUUCAAAACAUUCCAGUGCAAUGGAGAUAGACUACUCCCAGCAGCCCACUUCGACAGCCACAUACUUUUCUCAACACCCCACUGCAGCAGCCACAGAUUCUUCUCAGCAACCCAUUGCAAAGGAGACAGACUCUUCUCAAAAGCCUAUUGCAAUGGAGACAUACACUUUUCAGCAGUCCACUGCAUCAGUGGUAGACACCAUCAAAGAGCUAAGUGCAUCAGAGGCAGACACUCCCCAGUCCCACACUUCAACAAAAAGUGACCUUUCCACAGAACCUUUUAAACAGUUACCUUUAUUGGGAGCAAGCUCUUCUCAACAGCCCACUGCCAUAACCACAGCUUCUACACAGCAGCCAACUAUAACAAUCCCAGACUCUUCAGACACAGACUCUUC
ensembl:lncRNA